rnacentral:rRNA from 1 species
UUGGAGGGCAAGUCUGGUGCCAGCAGCCGCGGUAAUUCCAGCUCCAAUAGCGUAUAUUAAAGUUGUUGCAGUUAAAAAGCUCGUAGUUGAAUUUCGGGGUCAGCAAGUUGGUCGUGCCACUGGUAUGCACUGGCUUUGCUGAUUCCUCCUUCUUGAAGAACCGUAAUGCCAUUAAGUUGGUGUUGCGGGGAAACAGGACUGUUACUUUGAAAAAAUUAGAGUGUUUAAAGCAGGC